AUGCGCGACCCGGGAGCCGGGGGGCCGGCCGAGGAGGUCACGGCGAGGAUCACGGCGGGGAUCGCGGCGGCGGGGCCCGGGGGCCCGGGGGCCCGGGCGGGGGGCGCGCCGGGGCCGCGUCGGGCUCUGCGGCCCUUGGCGGCGGCGGGCGGCGGCUCGGUCCCGGGGGGCGGCGGCGGCGGCGGCGGCGGCGGCGGCCUCCCCGCCCGGGGCAGCGGCUCCGCGGGCGCCGUGCGCGCCGCCCUCCUGAGGCCCGGGGCGGCCUUGGCGCCGCCCGCUGCCCUGGCCCCGGCGCCCGGCGGCGGCUUGUCCUUCGCGCCCGGGGCGCCGCCGCUGCGCCGAGAGAGGCGGCCGGGCGCGGCCGGGGUGCCCGGCGAGGGCGGUGCUUUGCCCGCGAGGCUGGGCGCGCGCGGGGCGGCGGGCGCCGGGGCUCGACCCGAGGAGGGGGCGGCCGGGGCCGGGCCGGGCGCGGGGGUGCGGCCGUGCAGGUCCUUGAGGAAGGGUCUGGCGGGCGAGGGCGCGCGGUGCAGCCGCCGACGCUCGGCCAGCGGGUGGAGGUGGUGGUGGCGGUGGUGCUGCCCGGGCGGCAGCGGCUUCGCGUCCGGGGCGCCCCCGCCCGCGAGGCCGUUCAGCGUCUCCAUGGCCGGGUCCCGGGCCGCGGGCGGCAGCUGUGCGGGCAGAUGCUCGGGGCGGCGGCGGCGUCGGCGGCGGCGUGCAGCCUCCCCGCGCGCCCGCUCAUCACCGGCCCCCGGCCCCGCCCGGUCUGCGCCCCGCGCUCCCGCGCCGCCGCCGUGCCCCGCGCACCCCCGGCGCCCCGGAUCCCCGCGGGGCUGGCCGCCGCCGCCGCCGCCGCCGCCCGGCUCUCCCCUCGCUGAGGUCACCGCCGCUCGCCUUCACCCGGUCAGCGGCGCGGCUCCCCGCCGCUCGCAUCCCCAGACACCGGCACCGGCCGCCGGCGGCGCGCUCCCCGCCCACGGCCGCCCAGCUCCCCGCCCGCGCGGAGAGGAACUGCACGCGCGCUCCCCGCCUCCCGCGCCCGCUCCCGCUCCCGCCUCCCGCGCCCCGCGCCCCGCCUCCCGCCUCCCGCCUCCCGCCUCCCGCCUCCCGCCGCCGGCGCCGCGGUGGGGCGGGGCCUGCGCUCCCGGGCCUUGGCGCGGGCGCCCUCGCGGCCUCCGAGGCUCCGGGGCCGGCGCGCAGGGCCGCGGAGGGGAGGCCGCCGCCGGGGUGCAGCGGGCGGGCGAGACGGGAGCGGCCCCCCGGGUGCGCGCGGGAGGUGCCACCGCCCCCCGCGGGCCGCCGCCUUCCCGCCGCCGUGUCCGCAGUCCCAGCGCUCCGUGA
rnacentral:lncRNA from 1 species